rnacentral:lncRNA from 1 species
CAGGCUUGCAGCAGACAGUCUUGCAGCAGACAGGCACACAGCAGGCCUGCUGGCAGGGGGAGGAGGCACAGCAAGCUGGCUGGUAGCUAGACUGUUGGCAGCACGAAGAAGCCCCACAGCAGACGGGCACGCAGCACACAGGCUUGCAGCAGACGGGCACGCAGCAGGCCUGCUGGCAGGGGGAGGAGGUGCAGCAAGCCGGCUUGCAGCUAGACUGCUGGCAGCACGAGGGCGUGCAGGAGCUGAUGCAGCCUGAUUGGCAG